GAGAAGAUGCAGACCUCCAUGGCGGUUCA
rnacentral:piRNA from 1 species